AAGUGUGCCAUGUAGACAUAACUUCAUUUGUGGGGGAGAUAAUCCACCUAUAUUUAAGAGAGAAAGAAGUCUCAAGCAAAUCUUUAAAUCUGAAUGUUUUUAAAUAUUGACCAAGUCUAAGCUUGAAUCUAUAAUCAAACUCUAUGAAAGACAAAUACUAGGUUAGGAUGCCAGGGAUAAUCCUGCCUUGGCCAGGGGGCAGGGCUGGACUAGAUGACUUUGUGAAGUCCCUUCUAGCCCUGCCUUCCUAUGUUCCUCAUAUUUAUACUGAAUGAGCAAACCUUCUGGACUCCCAGUUGUUCAAAACCCAGAUCUGAAGUUUGUGGCUUGAGUCUGUCUCAGCUUUAUGAGUAGUAUAGUGUUCUUGGCCUGAAGAUGAGAAAACAGUCAAGAUUUUCUCAGAUACUUGGGCUCAUGUGCAAGAGGUCCCCUGUGGCCCACAGCUGAUACUGCUAGUACCAGUGAAGUCCAAGUAUAGUUAUAGUGGGCAGGCUGAGGUAGGGUGGGGUAUGAUUAGAGCAAUACUGGACUCUACCAGUUCACCACUGUUGAAUGGGGACUGCAGACAAGUGAUAGACUUUAGAGGAGGCCCUGGGCCAGUCUAAUCUAGGCUGGGGCUCGGGCAGAAAUAGAACUGACUUUAGAAGCAGGGACCCCUAACAAACUCCUUGGCAGGCUCCUCUCAACUCUGCUGAGAAAUAAGGGGUGCAUUCCAACAUAGAUAUUAUUAGAUGAUAGGGUCAGAAGGGAACUCAGUAGGUCAUCUAGUCUGACCCCCUGCCCUAACAGCAAAAUAAUCUGGGAUAGACUGAACAACUGUGGCUGGUAAAUCAAGGGGAAAUACAGAGGAACCAGGAAAAUUUUCUUUUGUCCUUCAGCCAGACAACACAAGUGCUGGUGGCUAGGCCCACAAAACCUACUGUGUCUUGUGACAGCUGCAUGAGCGUGUCUUGAUUACACAGCUAGUCUACAGUAUUUGCAAGGUAAUAUCAGCUCUUAACUAGCCUGCACCACUAAUCCUAUCACUGAACUCUGCUAAUAGGCAUUUCUGCAGUUGUGACCUUAAAAAUAAUUUCUUGUCUAAAAAAAAAGCAAGGGAAUAUUCCUAUGACAUUCCAGUGAAGACUGCUGCUUGGGAAAACAGUGUGCCUGGGAAAGAAAACAACUCUUUGAAUGCUUCAGGGUGAUUCUAGUUCUGCCAGCUGGUCGAGGCAUCUCAGAUGGUUACUACCUUUGGCACCAGGCAACCCUGAGAGAGUCAGAAGAGCCAGCACUCCAGUACCCAAGCAGCAAAUGAGCCUAUGUUCCAGAUAUAAAAAUGCUUUUAGAGGAAAGAAGGGCAAGCCCCUGCAGAGUCAGCAGCAGAACAAAAUCAGAGUGCCCAUACCCCAGCUGCUGUCAUCCAAAGUGCUGGCAUGCUGGAAGUCAGCACUACUUGCACCACAGGACAGAGACUAGGAUGUUAAAUUGCUGUUAAACACCCAGAGAUCAACAGACUGCCUUUCACUGGGUGAUCUUUUUAUCAAGACAAAGGAAAAACAGUAUCUUACAUCUGUCUGGAAUUUAUUAAAGCAUCUACAACAUAAUCACAUGGAACAAUGAAGGAACUGACCAGCAGGAAGACAGCAACAGGAAACGUUGGAAGGGGAAGUAUUGGUGGUGAAGCAGGAUGACUACCAGAUCUUCUAAAGCAGAGGUGGGCAAAAUCCAGCCUGCAGGCUGGAUCUGGCCUGCAAAGGGAUUUUUGCCCAGCCCACAAUGCAGUGGCCAGACUCUAUUUCCUGGCAGCCCUAGUAGCAGCAACUACUAUGACUGCCGCUGCUGGACCUGGCCCCACUGAGCACACUGCCUCAUAGGUGCUGACUUUUAUUUUUGCCAGGUGGAGGCCUAAGAUGAUGCCACCUUGCACCCUUGUGGCAUGGCCGAAGCAGAGCCAAACGGAGCCUGUGGGAGUUGGAUACAGGCUGCCCGCUGCAGGCUUGGGGCUUCCCACCCUGCUGCUCUUCCCCUGGG